UCUAGACACGAGAAGACCAAGAUGAAGCGUGUUGGUGGUGCUGUCCAGUGGAGCUGCUGCCGGCGUCCACUAAGGCCUGAGGCUAUUGCCUUCUUCGACUGUGACCUCUCCUACCGUGAUGGCCUUCUUCUUCGACUAUGUGUUUAGGUGAUGCAAGUUUUACAAGGCUGGUAGCAUCGUAGGCAUGACUGGAGGGUGGAAGGACAGGAAGCGAAAGCUGAACUCCUCUUCUUGCGAAACCAAUUGAAUACCUGAGUUGUAUUGGUUGUGGAAUGUUAUUUGAGUCCAGAUCUGGAAUGUUGUGUUGUAGUCGACAAAGUAACAUCGUUCUUGUGAUGCUCCAGAGUUGUGGUGUAGUUGGCUUGUCAUGUUGCACUUUUAUUGAUUAUUGUUUGGAUUGUGAUCUGAUUAUCCCCAAAAUAGGGUAGGUUAUGCCGAAUUUUUCUGAGAAUUUGACAAAUUAA